CUCUAAAACCACUCUGAGUGGAGAACAGCAUUUUAAACAACAACAUUUAUCUGAGAAAAGGAGUCAUCAGAGAGAAGAACCUGACGACUUCAAACCUGAACCCAGCUGUGUGUCUAUGAAGAGUGAUCGAUCAAAAGAUGUCGUCAUUAACUUUAAAAGACAAGAACCCUCAACUGUGAAGAAGAAACAACAGAAACCAGACUCACAACAACCAGAACGUGAACCCAGCUCUAUGAAGAGAGAUUGGUUGUUUAACUUUAAAAGGAAAUUAUCUCCUUUAAAGAAGUAAGAAAUUCAUUAAUUUACAAAGUCGCUGAUUUGGGUGAAGUGAUACAAUAAUAGCUGUUUGGAAAAUUCGAUGACUGAGACAUGUGGACUUUCUGUGAUUCUCAGUCAUCAGGUUUAGAAUUGAUCAGUGGUUUCACCUCUUUAUUAAUGUCACAGUAGAGAUUAUUUAUUUAUGACCCAACACACAAUCAUUAACUCUUCAUGUUUGAGAGGAAAAACACACAUUUAUUACAGAUGGUGGAGACAAUAAUGUGAACUAAUUGUUGAAGAUUCAUUCACAGAGUGAAGCAGCAUCAAACACAGCUGGACUCCAUAUUUAAGGUCUGUACAUGGACAACAACUACUUUCCAUCAUCUCCAUGCUGCUCUUUGUAGACCAGUGGACUGUCA